UCUUUCUUUUGCUCUUAUCACGAUUCCAGACGGGUGUAGCUGCAGCUACGAAGGCGCGCGGCGCCGUUUCACGCCGAGUUGCCAUCGCCCCUCGCAAGGACGGUGCCUGCGUGUGCGGGAGGGCUGCGCAGAACCGGCUGCGGGACGGGACCCGCGGGUCGGCCCCUUCCACGAACGUGAGAACCAGGGAGGGGAAUUCUCAGCACCUGCACCGCGGGGUCCCUCUGCGCGCCCUUUGCGCAACACCUCCCCCGGCAAAGCCCUUGAAAGUUGCAAAGCGCCUCGCGUUGUGCAAAUGUGGAAGUCGGGCACCCGCAGAUAACAGCUCCGACCUUUCGCUAUAAUCGGCGAAGAGAGCGGGGCGGGUCCGGGGACCCCGGAACGACCACCGCCUCCAGCUCGGGCGAGAGCCCCGCAGCGGGUCCCGUAAUCCGGGGGCCGCGGGAGGCGCCCGGCCCGGAGCUGCGCCCGCGGUCGCCUCCCGAUGGGGCUGUCCGGCAGCCGGGCUCCGGCCCCGGACACCCCAACCCCCGCGGCAGCCGAGGGGCGCGCCGUGCCGGUACGGAGCCGGCCAGCUGCCGUCGGCGGCACCGCGAGGAACGGAGGGGUGGGGAGGCCGGGAGAAAAGACGCCACUUACUCGGAAGGAUCGAGGCUCUUCCUCUCGAUGGCCGAUGACAUUGGCAGGGAUGGCUCCUUUGUAGCGUGCCUGUGGUGCGAUCUGCCCCCGCUGCCCCCGCAGAGGCCGUCCGCUCUCGACGCCUUGUCACCAGCCGCGCUCCCCCUCCGCCCCCCAAUGACAUUCACAGGAUUUCCUCCUCCCAUCCUCGCCGCGCUCCUCCCGCGCGCCGGGCGGCGGGGCCGCUCCUCCGGCUGCGGCUCUGCGGGCGGGCGGGAGGCGACUACCGCGACUACCGCGGCCACCGCUGCCUGCCCGCCGCCACCGCUGCCCGCCCGGCCGCUGCCCGCCGCUCUCCGGCGCCUGCCCGGCCGCGGCUCUCAGCUCGCCCCGCGGAGCCGGGCGGGUGCUGCGGCCGGAGAGCUCGGCAUCGCUAUUAGUGCUGCGCGGCGCGGCCCCGGCUCUCCGGUUUCAUUUCCUUUUUCCUGAUCACGAUUCAAAUACAAUAGAAGGAAAUCACGCUUAAAGAGACAGCUGCCCGUUUCUUAACUGGACUCCUGGGGGUUUAGCAACACAAACAGCGGCAUCACGACUCGCUCGGCUUCUUAAAGAGACAGAGCUCGGGCUCCCCGCAGCCGCGGCUGCGAGCUGACGCUGCGUUUUCACAUCGCGACGUCACGGAGCAGCACCGCACCGCUUGCGCGGGGCUCCCGGAGAGAUGCGCGACCCGAAAGCAUCCCGAGGGCUGAGGGAAACCUCGGCCGGCUCCGAGCUGUCGGCACCCCGGCCCCACGCGGAAUCACAGCGGGUCACGCUCCCUCGCCUCGUCCUGCCCAGCCCCUGCACACGCACAUGCCCACAGCACGCACGUUUCGCCACGGCACCCGGAGAUCAGGCGCCGGGUCAGAACUCGAGCGCUGUUUUCUACCUAGAGCGCGAAUCGGUUAGCUAAACUGUGCUUCCCUUGUAUCCCGUCGCGUCCCAGAGUCGCCGGUCACUGGCGUCUGUUUCCAGAUGCCCCCGAGUUCUCGGUAAGCACUAUAACAAAUUUAUAUCUCGACGCCGCUUGGUGUUAAUGAGCUAUAAAAGCUCGAGAGUACAGUAUCGAUCCGUAAUGAAUCACACGGAAGCCAAAGAUGGGAAACUCUUGCCUGAAUGUCUCUAUUUCCACUCCCAUCCUUCCUCCCCCUCUUCUCCAUCAGCACAGAACGUCCCGGAAAGAGCUGAUUUACAGGGCCAGAGCGAAAACUAUUACAGCGGUUAUAGCAUUUUCCCAUUCUGUGUGGCAUGAGAUCCCAGCGGCUGCUGGAGGCAGAGCCCUGGCUGAAAUGAGCCUCUCGCCCCACUAAUUCCUUCAGAAACAGUAAGAAAAGAUCAGCAGUAAAGCACUAGCAGAAGCAUUUAGCUUCUAUAUUAAUUCCCAGAACAGAAAUACAUUUGAUGUCUAUUUUUAUGAGUACAGUCUAAUUUUUUCAUCUUUUUGGCACCGGGGUUAUAAUAUCUGAAACACAUUAAUGAGCCCGAUCCAAAGAUUAGAAACGUCAGCACAAGGACUGUUAUUCAUUUCAAGGGCUUUGAACUGAGUUCUCGCAACGCUUUAGAGCCAUCACUGGUCAUUAGAAUACAUCUUCCUUAUUCUUUAAAAGAAUGAUCUCCAACGUAUUUUAAGCCGUUACAGUAUGGCAGCCGCUCUCACAACCAAAUGUUCCUGUCACAGUGCAGCUCCUUUGCCAGGUUUCGUGGACAGAAUGAUAAACAUUUCAUUUCUUAUAUUGGCUUUAAAGGUGUAUCAAAAACGACCAUAAGAACUUCAAAUGUGUUUGGGGGGGGGGGGGAGAGGGGGUUGGGAAAGAAAAG
rnacentral:lncRNA from 1 species